rnacentral:lncRNA from 1 species
UCUGUGUACAAAUCACCCAGGAAAUGACAGACAAAAUUGGAGAUUGGAGAAGAACAGUCAAAAUUCUGAAGAGAAAUUAAGUGGCCUUGAUGAAAAAGAAAGAAUGAAAAUCUCUCUGAGCAGAGGAAUCCUGGAAAAAGGUUGAGAAAUGCAAGAAUAUAAAUUACCUCCAGUUCCUUGAUUCCUGCUGUGUUCAUUCCAACAGGGGUUUAAAAACUCUUUCUAAAUUGAUGAUCUAUAUCAAAUGUGUAGGUUGCUCUCAAAGUAGUGCCUUCCAGUUCCUCAGAAAUACAGUAAAUAAAGUACAAUAUAUACAAAGAGCUCAAUAGCACUAUUUGACCAACCAAUUCUCAGCUGCAAAAUGCUAUUUUGCAACAUAGUCACCACCAUUAGUUGUGCAUUUUCAACAUCUUUGAACAAGAGCCUGCAUACUGCAUUCAUAGAUGCCUGCAACAACAGAGAACACACACUGUCGUCACCACUGCAGAAAGGCACCACCCACUGCCUCGCUGUGCUCACAUCCACUGUUUCAUCUCCAAAAAUGCUCAGCAAGCAUCAGUGAAUGCCAAUGGGUGCCAAUUCUUCUGCAUGAAUCGGAACCCUCCUUUGUAGGUGUUAUAUACCCUUCACCUUUAAAACAGAGCAAGAUUGAAUCGAAGAAUCAUGAGGGUUGGAAGGGACCUCUGGAGAUCACCUAAUUCAACCCCGCUGCUAAAGCAGGU